UAAGCGAGUAGUGAAAUCUAACGGCUCAACCGUUAGGCUAUUGCUCGAACUGGUAAACUCGAGAAUGGUAGAGGUAACUGGAAUUUCUAGUGUAGGAGUGGAAUCCGUAGAUAUUAGAAGGAACACCAAUGGCGUAGGCAGGUUACUGGACCAUUUCUGACACUGAGGCACGAAAGCGUGGGGAGCGAACCGGAUUAGAUACCCGGGUAGUCCACGCCGUAAACGAUGGAUACUA
rnacentral:rRNA from 1 species